AUGGCAGAUCCCCAGAGAAACCGAACCAACACCCUAAACCAAACAAGCCGUUUACAGAAACGAGCUCCCUCCUCCUUACAAAUCAACCGCCCCCUCGAUUGGAACGUCGCCAUCCCUCUCCUUUCUCCGUUAGCAUCUUCGCCGCCACCGCAACCGGAUCCAUCUCAGCGCCAUCAAGGAUCAACCGCCGAGCCGGAGAAGGAUGUUGUUACUUUCAAAAACUGGCAGCACCCGGCAGCGCCUUUCUGCUACGAGCCAGCUCCGAUGGUGCCGCCGUUUGUUCCUGUUUAG